rnacentral:rRNA from 1 species
UACAGAGGUCCCAAGCGUUGUUCGGAUUCACUGGGCGUAAAGGGUGCGUAGGUGGUUAGGUAAGUCCGAUGUGAAAUCUCCAGGCUCAACCUGGAAAUGGCAUUGGAUAUAUUACUUGUAGGAGUGGAGGGGAGGCUGGAAUUCUCGGUGUAGCAGUGAAAUGCGUAGAUAUCGAGAGGAACACCAGUGGCGAAGGCGAGUCCCUGGACACUUCCUGACACUGAGGCACGAAAGUUAGGGGAGCAAAACAGG